rnacentral:lncRNA from 1 species
AUUUCUCUCCUUUUCCCGGAAAAAUGGCUGGCAUCAUCUGCGUUGAGAAAGCAUUCACUCGAUAUUGUUGAAGUGUAAGGAGAUGGAGUGUAGUUUACCUGGGUGGUGGAGGUUGUCGGCGUCGGCUGGUGGAGGAUAAACGAGUAACAAGAAAUGGCUGUGACAUAUGUAAAUUUGGUGUGGAACUGAUGUUUUUCUUUUUGAGGAUUAACUUGUUAAUUAAUAUUUCUUUAAUGAUACUUAUUAUUUUUAAUUUACAAUAUUUUCAUUAUUAUAUUUAUGCAGUGAUAUUUGGCUAUUUGCUUGAUAUUUUAUGUAAAUUUAGUUUUGCUAUUAAAGGCAAUAGUUUGAGGUGGCGUAGCAGUCUCGCCUUGGUUGUCCGGCCGUGCAUUUACGUUUCCAUUGUGUAUCAUCACUGGUUGAAAGUUUAUGUGGUUCAUCUGGGAACUUUGUGAAUGUUGUUUAGUGUUUUUUUGUAAGAAUAGAUUGGAAAGUUGCCGGAAACGAAAUAUUGUAUUUUGUAUUUUAGGCGAGACUAUUGUAAGUAAUACGUUUGUAGUUAUUUCUAAUUCUCUAAUAAAGUUCUUAUUUUUGAAGAUUUAUGGAGUAUUAUUUGGAUAGUGCCUAUCGUUUUCUACGUAACACCAAGUUUGGAAUUACUAUUGAUGUCAGUAUUAGUCAACAAAGAGGGGCAACUUCACGGGGCCGAACUUAUGAGGGUUCGAGAGAGCGGACGAAUACCUCGCAGAAGUAUAAACUAUAGACGAAUAAAAUCAAAACCGGCUACUCUAAUACAAUGAAAAAUGUGUCAGUGAUUUAUAAGUACAAGUAUUUUUACAAAUCAUUGCUUAUUUUUGUUGGAGAGAAAUCAAACGUUUACCAUUUCAGUAAUGAAAUGGUAUAAUAGAGUAACC